rnacentral:rRNA from 1 species
GCGAGUGAGCGGCAAGAGCUCAAAUUUGAAAUCUGGUACCUUCGGUGCCCGAGUUGUAAUUUGAAGAAAGCUAUCUUGGAUUUGGCCUUUGUCUAUGUUCCUUGGAACAGGACGUCACAGAGGGUGAGAAUCCCGUGCGAUGAGGUGUCCAUUUCUAUGUAAGAUGUUUUCGAAGAGUCGAGUUGUUUGGGAAUGCAGCUCUAAGUGGGUGGUAAAUUCCAUCUAAAGCUAAAUAUUGGCGAGAGACCGAUAGCGAACAAGUACAGUGAUGGAAAGAUGAAAAGAACUUUGAAAAGAGAGUGAAAAAGUACGUGAAAUUGUUGAAAGGGAAGGGUAUUAGAUCAGACUUGGUAUUUAGUUAUCAUUGCUCCUUGUGGGUGGUGCUCUAGCUUUUUACUGGGCCAGCAUCAGUUUUGGUGGCAAGAUAAUGACAUUUGAACGUGGCUCUUCGGAGUGUUAUAGCUUUUGUUGAUAUUGCCUACUGGGACUGAGGUCUGCGGCUUUUGCCUAGGAUGCUGGCGUAAUGAUCCAAUACCGCCC